rnacentral:lncRNA from 1 species
CUUCGAAUUAGUGCUUUAUCGCAGUCGCCAAAUACAAUUUUAGAAUUUAAAAUUUGCUUGGUUUUUAUGGCCGAGAUAAAAGGGUUUUCUUUAUGGGUGUUCUUUCUUUUUUCAGCUCUUAUUUGUUUUACAUUAGACAGUGGCGUAGCGAGCAUAAUUGGCGCCCGAGGCAUGAUACGUUUUUGGAGCCCGGGCCACGAUACCUUUUUGGCGUCCCCCGAAAAACAUACACUGUUAACAACUUCACUCAUACACUGUUCCCUGAAUAAUAGAAUCGUCCUUCAAAAAGUAAAAUGCAUAACAAAGAUAUCUAUAGUUAUAGUUCG